AAUGAACGCUGGCGGCGCGCCUAAUACAUGCAAGUCGAGCGAGAAGACGUAGCAAUACGUUUGUAAAGCGGCGAACGGGUGAGGAAUACAUGGGUAACCUACCCUCGAGUGGGGAAUAACUAGCCGAAAGGUUAGCUAAUACCGCGUACGCUUCUUGGACUUCGGUUCAGGGAGGAAAGCGAUGCCGAGGGUAUCGCGCUCUUGGAUGGGCUCAUGUCCUAUCAGCUUGUUGGGAGGUAACGGCUCACCAAGGCUUCGACGGGUAGCCUGGUCUGAGAGGACGAUCAGCCACACUGGCACUGCGACACGGGCCAGACUCCUACGGGAGGCAGCAGUAA
rnacentral:rRNA from 1 species